rnacentral:rRNA from 1 species
GACGAACGCUGGCGGCGUGCUUAACACAUGCAAGUCGAACGGAAAGGCCCUGCUUUUGUGGGGUGCUCGAGUGGCGAACGGGUGAGUAACACGUGAGUAACCUGCCCUUGACUUUGGGAUAACUUCAGGAAACUGGGGCUAAUACCGGAUAGGAGCUCCUGCUGCACGGUGGGGGUUGGAAAGUUUCGGCGGUUGGGGAUGGACUCGCGGCUUACCAGCUUGUUGGUGGGGUAGUGGCUUACCAAGGCUUUGACGGGUAGCCGGCCUGAGAGGGUGACCGGCCACAUUGGGACUGAGAGACGGCCCAGACUCCUACGGGAGGCAGCAGUGGGGAAUAUUGCACAAUGGGCGGAAGCCUGAUGCAGCAACGCCGCGUGCGGGAUGACGGCCUUCGGGUUGUAAACCGCUUUCGCCUGUGACGAAGCGUGAGUGACGGUAAUGGGUAAAGAAGCACCGGCUAACUACGUG